rnacentral:rRNA from 2 species
CUCAAAUUUGAAAUCUGGCCCUCGGGUCCGAAUUGUAAUUUGUAGAGGAUGAUUUUGGUGCGGUAUCUUCCGAGUUCCUUGGAACAGGACGCCUUAGAGGGUGAGAGCCCCGUACGGUUGAAUGCCUAGCCUCUGUAAAUCUCCUUCGACGAGUCGAGUAGUUUGGGAAUGCUGCUCUAAAUGGGAGGUAAAUUUCUUCUAAAGCUAAAUAUUGGCCAGAGACCGAUAGCGCACAAGUAGAGUGAUCGAAAGAUGAAAAGCACUUUGAAAAGAGGGUUAAAUAGCACGUGAAAUUGUUGAAAGGGAAGGAUUUGUGACCAGACUUUUUCUGGGCGGAUCAUCCGGGGUUCUCUCCGGUGCACUUUGCCCAGUAAAGGCCAGCAUCGAUUUUCGGCGGCGGAUAAAAGCAGUGGGAAUGUGGCUCCUUACGGGGAGUGUUAUAGCCCAUUGUAUAAUACGCUGCUGGGGAUCGAGGUACGCGCUUCUGCAAGGAUGCUGGCGUAAUGGUUAUCAAUCACCCGUCUUGAAACACGGACCAAGGAGUCGAACAUUUAUGCGAGUGUUUGGGUGUUAAACCCUCACGCGUAAUGAAAGUGAACGGAGGUGAGAGCCUGUAUGGGUGCAUCAUCGACCGAUCCUGAAGUUUUCGGAUGGAUUUGAGUAAGAGCAUAACUGUUCGGACCCGAAAGAUGGUGAACUAUGCGUGGAUAGGGUGAAGCCAGAGGAAACUCUGGUGGAGGCUCGCAGCGGUUCUGACGUGCAAAUCGAUCGUCAAAUCUGCGCAUGGGGG